AGUGAACGCUGGCGGUAGGCCUAACACAUGCAAGUCGAACGGCAGCACAGUAAGAGCUUGCUCUUACGGGUGGCGAGUGGCGGACGGGUGAGGAAUACAUCGGAAUCUACUUUUUCGUGGGGGAUAACGUAGGGAAACCUACGCUAAUACCGCAUACGACCUACGGGUGAAAGCAGGGGAUCUUCGGACCUUGCGCGAUUGAAUGAGCCGAUGUCGGAUUAGCUAGUUGGCGGGGUAAAGGCCCACCAAGGCGACGAUCCGUAGCUGGUCUGAGAGGAUGAUCGGCCACACUGGAACUGAGACACGGUCCAGACUCCUACGGGAGGCAGCAGUGGGGAAUAUGGGACAAUGGGCGCAAGCCUGAUCCAGCCAUACCGCGUGGGUGAAGAAGGCCUUCGGGUUGUAAAGCCCUUUUGUUGGGAAAGAAAAGCAGCAGGUUAAUACCCCGCGGUUCUGACGGUACCCAAAGAAUAAGCACCGGCUAACUUCGUG
rnacentral:rRNA from 1 species